AAACCAGCACCUCAAGUGGUCAGGAUGAUUAUUGGGCCUAAAGCAUCCGUAGCCGGCUCUGUAAGUUUUCGGUUAAAUCUGUACGCUCAACGUACAGGCUGCUGGGAAUACUGCAGAGCUAGGGAGUGGAAGAGGUAGACGGUACUCGGGAGGAAGUGGUAAAAUGCUUUGAUCUCUCGAUGACCACCUGUGGCGAAGGCGGUCUACCAGAACACGACCGACGGUGAGGGAUGAAAGCUGGGGGAGCAAACCGGAUUAGAAACCCCUGUAGUCC
rnacentral:rRNA from 1 species